GAUAUAUACUUGGUUACUUUUACUUGUUAUUUGAUGAAAAAAAACAAGAUUUACAUGGAAGCGUUGAGCUGCCCAAAGUUAAACUCUGUUGCAGAUCUUGUUUUCAGCCGAGAGGACCAGAUGCAGAGGUGUCUAUUGAAAAGAAUAAAACAAUGAUGAGAGGGAAACAGAGGUGGCAGAUGGCAAGAAAAGCUCUUCUGUGCACUAGUCGCCAUCACCAGGUGUUCCUCAGGCCCAAACAGAUCCCUAAACUUCCUGCUACAUUAAGGAGAACACCAUCUCAGUGUCUGCCCGUGUAAUAGGUGGUUAAUAAAUACAAACUUAAUCUGAAUCUUGAGAGGGAGGAAUCAUAACUACAUCUGU
ensembl:lncRNA